rnacentral:rRNA from 1 species
GACGAACGCUGGCGGCGUGCUUAACACAUGCAAGUCGAACGGAAAGGCCCUGCUUUUGUGGGGUGCUCGAGUGGCGAACGGGUGAGUAACACGUGAGUAACCUGCCCUUGACUUUGGGAUAACUUCAGGAAACUGGGGCUAAUACCGGAUAGGAGCUCCUGCCGCAUGGUGGGCGUUGGAAAGUUUCGGCGGUUGGGGAUGGACUCGCGGCUUAUCAGCUUGUUGGUGGGGUAGUGGCUUACCAAGGCUUUGACGGGUAGCCGGCCUGAGAGGGUGACCGGCCACAAGAGGACUGAGGGACGGCCCAGACUGCUACGGGAGGCAGCAGUGGGGAAUAUUGCACAGUGGGCGGAAGCCUGAUGCAGCAGCGCCGCGUGCGGGAUGACGGCCUUCGGGUUGUAAACCGCUUUCGCCUGUGACGAAGCGUGAGUGACGGUAAUGGGUAAAGAAGCACCGGCUAACUACGUG